AAUAGAUACCCCGGUAGUCCUAGCCGUAAACGAUGGACACUAGGUGUUGGUGGUAUCAACCCCACCAGUGCCGAAGCUAACGCAUUAAGUGUCCCGCCUGGGGAGUACGGCCGCAAGGCUAAAACUCAAAGGAAUUGACGGGGCCCCGCACAAGCAGCGGAGCGUGGGGUUUAAUUCGAUGCAACGCGAAGAACCUUACCAGGGCUUGACAUGACCAGGAAUCCGGCGGAAACGUCGGCGUCCCGCAAGGGACCUGGCCACAGGUGUUGCAUGGCUGUCGUCAGCUCGUGUCGUGAGGUGUUGGGUUAAGUCCCGCAACGAGCGCAACCCCUAUCGUGUGUUGUAUCACUCACACGAGACUGCCGAGAGAAACUCGGAGGAAGGCGGGGAUGACGUCAAGUCAGCAUGGCCCUUACGUCCUGGGCUACACCCACGCUACAAUGGCCGGUACAACGGGCGGCGAAACCGCGAGGUGGAGCAAAUCCCUUAAAGCCGGUCUCAGUUCGGAUUGUAGGCUGCAACUCGCCUGCAUGAAGCCGGAGUUGCUA
rnacentral:rRNA from 1 species